rnacentral:ncRNA from 1 species
GGUUCAGGCGACAUCCUCCUCCUCCUCCCUGAGGAUGUCGCCGCACCAACACGGAAGCCCUCUCCUCCUCCCUUGGGCUUCGUGUCAAGGCGGCGACCCCCUCCUCCUCCCUGGGGUCGCCGCACUUU